rnacentral:tRNA from 1 species
GGGGCUGUAGCUCAGCGGUAGAGCGCAUGCCUAGCAUGUGUGAGGCACUGAGUUCAAUCCUCAGCACCA